GAUGAACGCUGGCGGCGUGCCUAAUACAUGCCAGUCGAGCGAACAGAUGAGGAGCUUGCUCCUCUGACGUUAGCGGCGGACGGGUGAGUAACACGUGGAUAACCUACCUAUAAGACUGGGAUAACUUCGGGAAACCGGAGCUAAUACCGGAUAAUAUAUUGAACCGCAUGGUUCAAUAGUGAAAGACGGUUUUGCUGUCACUUAUAGAUGGAUCCGCGCCGCAUUAGCUAGUUGGUAAGGUAACGGCUUACCAAGGCAACGAUGCGUAGCCGACCUGAGAGGGUGAUCGGCCACACUGGAACCGAGACACGGUCCAGACUCCUACGGGAGGCAGCAGUAGGGAAUCUUCCGCAAUGGGCGAAAGCCUGACGGAGCAACGCCGCGUGAGUGAUGAAGGUCUUCGGAUCGUAAAACUCUGUUAUCAGGGAAGAACAAAUGUGUAAGUAACUAUGCACGUCUUGACGGUACCUAAUCAGAAAGCCACGGCUAACUACGUG
rnacentral:rRNA from 1 species